UGGGGAAUAUUGCGCAAUGGGGGAAACCCUGACGCAGCAACGCCGCGUGAAGGAUGAAGGUUUUCGGAUUGUAAACUUCUUUGAUGAGGGACGAAACAAAUGACGGUACCUCAAAAACAAGCCACGGCUAACUACGUGCCAGCAGCCGCGGUAAUACGUAGGUGGCGAGCGUUGUCCGGAAUUACUGGGUGUAAAGGGCGUGUAGGCGGGGAUGUAAGUCAGAUGUGAAAUACCGAGGCUUAACUUCGGGGCUGCAUCUGAAACUACGUUUCUUGAGUGUCGGAGAGGAAAGCGGAAUUCCCAGUGUAGCGGUGAAAUGUGUAGAUAUUGGGAGGAACACCAGUGGCGAAGGCGGCUUUCUGGACGAUAACUGACGCUGAGGCGCGAAAGCGUGGGGAGCAAACA
rnacentral:rRNA from 1 species